GACGAACGCUGGCGGCGUGCUUAACACAUGCAAGUCGAGCGGAAAGGCCCUUUCGGGGGUACUCGAGCGGCGAACGGGUGAGUAACAUGUGAGUAAUCUGCCCCCUACUUUGGGAUAACCCCCGGAAACGGGAGCUAAUACCGGAUACGACCACUCCAGGCAUCUGGUGGUGGCGGAAAGUUUUUUCGGUGGGGGAUGUGCUCGCGGCCUAUCAGCUUGUUGGUGGGGUAAUGGCCUACCAAGGCUUUGACGGGUAGCCGGCCUGAGAGGGUGACCGGCCACACUGGGACUGAGACACGGCCCAGACUCCUACGGGAGGCAGCAGUGGGGAAUAUUGGACAAUGGGCGGAAGCCUGAUCCAGCAACGCCGCGUGAGGGAUGACGGCCUUCGGGUUGUAAACCUCUUUCAGCACCGACGAAGCGGAAGUGACGGUAGGUGCAGAAGAAGGACCGGCCAACUACGUGCCAGCCGCCGCCGUAAAAC
rnacentral:rRNA from 1 species